AUCAGAAUCAGCCAAUCCUCGGCGUACAGCUUGGUGACGUCAACAGUAGCUAGGUAGAUUCUCGGAGCUGGCCGUCUGGAGGCGGACCGCGCGCUCCCUAGAGCCAGGCUGCGGGCCGAGUCCAGGACAUGAUAAAGCCCCUAAGAAGCGUGGGGAAGGCUGGGAGCCAGCUUGCGGCGAGGGCGGGAAGGAGCGCUGGCAGGAGAGGGGAGAGAGAGGAGGGUACUGAGUGGGCACCACCGCUGACCCCUGGAGUGGCUGCGAUUAUGGAGGAGGGAUUUCUUUUUUCAUUUUUCCUACGAGUUUCGCUGUUGUUACCUAGACUGGAGUGCAAUGGCACAAUCUCGGCUCACCGCAACCUCCGCCUUCUGUGUUCAAGCAAUUCUCCUGCCUCAGCCUCCCGAGUAGCUGGGAUUACAGGCGCGCACCACCAUGUCCAGCUAAUUUUUGUAUUUUUAGUAGAGACAAGAUUUCACCAUGUUGACCAGGAUGGUCUCGAUCUCUUGACCUCGUGAUCCACCCACCUCGGCCUCCCAAAGUGCUGGGAUUAUAGGCGUGAGCCACCGCGCCCGGCCCUGAACCUGUUUCCUGCUCUCUUCUUCUAAGAGUCUUUCUCAGACCAGCACAGCUCUGCUCUGAUCAGCCCAGUCACCCCUGCUAUCUUUCUGCUCCCUGAAAAGGAGCACCUUGAAACAGAGCCCAUCCUUCUUAUACCUCAGCACCCAGGACAGGAUUCAGGGAACAGAUGGGUUGGCCUUGGGGGAGAGACUCAAACUGGGAGUGAUAGACAAAAGUGGGAUAAGCUUCUUUCUUUCUUUCGAGAUGGAAUUUUACUCUUUGCCCAGGCUGAAAUGCAGUGGCGCAAUCUUGGCUCACUGCAACUCCUCUGCCUCCUGGCUUCAAGCGAUUCCCCUGCCUCGGCCUCCGGACUAGCUGGAUUACAGGCAUACGCCAUCACGCCUGGCUAAUUUUGUAUUUUUAGUAGAGACGGGGUUUCUCCGUAUUGGUCAGGCUGGUCUCAAACUCCUGACCUCAGGGGAUCUGCCCGCUUCGGCCUCCCAAAAUGCUGGAAUUACAGGCAUGAGCCACUGCGCCUGGCUGAUGAGCUUAUUUCUGCUGCCCCAGAGCUCCAAUCCCCAGAGUAGAAGGCAAGGAAGGAGGGGCACGAAGGGAUCCAGGUAAUGUAGUGUGAAGAGCACUAGACUGGAAGGAGUUCAAAGACCAUGAACUAGCUGGGGGACAAUGGGGAUGCCAGAUUCUGCAAGUUCUGGACUCUGUCUGAAACAUAAGGUAACACUCCCCUCUCUGUCCACUUCACAGAUUUGUGGUGGGUGCAGGAAGAUGAACAGGGUAAGCACUUCUGGCCAUGGCUCCCUUAAUCAGUGGGGCUGUGGCCAACACUUACUUGUC